GGAGAGAUGGCGGAGUGGACGAACGCGCCGGAUUGCUAAUCCGGUGUACCCGGUUACGGGUACCGAGGGUUCGAAUCCCUCUCUCUCCG
rnacentral:tRNA from 1 species